UACAGAGGGUGCAAGCGUUGUUCGGAAUUAUUGGGCGUAAAGCGCGUGUAGGCGGCAUGGCAAGUCGGGUGUGAAAGCCCUCAGCUUAACUGAGGAAGUGCGCCCGAAACUGCCGUACUUGAGUGCCGGAGAGGGUGGCGGAAUUCCCCAAGUAGAGGUGAAAUUCGUAGAUAUGGGGAGGAACACCGGUGGCGAAGGCGGCCACCUGGACGGUAACUGACGCUGAGACGCGAAAGCGUGGGGAGCAAACAGG
rnacentral:rRNA from 1 species